UGGUGGGUAGUUUGACUGGGGCGGUCUCCUCCCAAAGAGUAACGGAGGAGCACGAAGGUUAGCUAAUCCUGGUCGGACAUCAGGAGGUUAGUGCAAUGGCAUAAGCUAGCUUGACUGCGAGAGUGACGGCUCGAGCAGGUGCGAAAGCAGGUCAUAGUGAUCCGGUGGUUCUGAAUGGAAGGGCCAUCGCUCAACGGAUAAAAGGUACUCCGGGGAUAACAGGCUGAUACCGCCCAAGAGUUCAUAUCGACGGCGGUGUUUGGCACCUCGAUGUCGGCUCAUCACAUCCUGGGGCUGAAGUAGGUCCCAAGGGUAUGGCUGUUCGCCAUUUAAAGUGGUACGCGAGCUGGGUUUAGAACGUCGUGAGACAGUUCGGUCCCUAUCUGCCGUGGGCGCUGGAGAAUUGAGGGGGGCUGCUCCUAGUACGAGAGGACCGGAGUGGACGCAUCACUGGUGUUCGGGUUGUCAUGCCAAUGGCACUGCCCGGUAGCUAAAUGCGGAAAAGAUAAGUGCUGAAAGCAUCUAAGCACGAAACUUGCCCCGAGAUGAGUUCUCCCUGACCCUUUAAGGG
rnacentral:rRNA from 1 species